rnacentral:lncRNA from 1 species
GGCGCUGCGCUCAGCCUGGGCAGCCGGCUCGCUCACUGCUCUUCCUCGGCGGAGGCCGAGCCGCUCCGGGCAGUUUAAAACCCGGUCAAAGCAGGCUGUCGUCUUGGCGCUGUCACCGACUGGCUUCGUGAACCCCGGAGCUCUUCUAGGCUUCCUUUGGCUAAGGUGGAUAUCGUCGUGAACGAGGGGCUGCCACGUCUCACGUCUCCACGGUUCUUCUCUUUGGAGGCUGCGCACUCGCAACCUGCAGGACCUAGCACUUCUUACGACCGCUUCAGGGCGCAGCUUGAAUCCAAAUCAUCACUCCGAAGACAAGGCAAACAUUUUAAGGGGCCACCUGUUCCAGUGCAGUGAGGUCCAGCGUGCCAGGCAGAGCACCCGCACUCAGAGCACACAUGGACGUCGGUUAAAAAUCUCCAUUCAUGCUGGCCAGCGCUGCAGGGAGGCUGAAGCAGGAGGAUCCCAAGUCCAAGCCCAACCUGGAACAUUUAGCAACUUAGUGCCUC